rnacentral:rRNA from 1 species
CCUACGGGUGGCAGCAGUGGGGAAUAUUGCACAAUGGGGGGAACCCUGAUGCAGCAACGCCGCGUGGGUGAAGAAGUACUCCGGUAUGUAAAGCUCUAUCAGCAGGGAAGAAAAUGACGGUACCUGAGUAAGAAGCCCCGGCUAACUACGUGCCAGCCGCCGCGGUAAUACGUAGGGGGCAAGCGUUAUCCGGAUUUACUGGGUGUAAAGGGAGCGUAUACGGCAGUGCAAGUCUGGAGUGAAAGGCGGGGGCUCAACCCCCGGAGUGCUCUGGAAACUGUACGGAUGGAGUGCAGGAGAGGUAAGUGGAAUGCCUAGUGUAGCGGUGAAAUGCGUAGAUAUUAGGAGGAACACCAGUGGCGAAGGCGGCUUACUGGACUGUAACUGACGUUGAGGCUCGAAAGCGUGGGGAGCAAACAGGAUUAGAUACCCCAGUAGUC